UUCAUUUUGGCACUGCCACAAACUGCAACAAAAACUUCUGAAAAGCGUUAUUUUUCCUAUGCAUGUUGCUUUGAUGCUCUUUUGUUGUGACGUUAAUAUUGAACAAGGUGGUUUUUACACUCUGACAUGUUCUGUAUUUAGGUUCGUGUUGAGAUGAAGACGUUUAUCGAGCGUUAUCGUGAGAUGAUGGCUCAUGUGGAAGAAGUCAACCAAGAGCGUGAAGAAAUCUUGAUGUCACUCUCAGAUUGGUUUGGCACUGAUCACCUGUAUGAUAUGGGCAGGGAAUGGGACAAAUUGGAAGCCAGUCUUCAGGAAGCAGAGGAAUCAGAGAGCACUUUCAGGUAAG